UAGUCUCUAAGCAGUUCCAUCUGUCAAGCAGAAAUUUUAGGCUAAUAGCCUGUGGCGAUCUCCCUCCGCAGUCCACUACCUGCCUUUGUCCUAUUAAAUCUCUUUAUUCUCCUUAAAAAAAAAAAAAAAAAAAAAAAAAAAAAGGUGGGGGGAUUGGUUGUUGGAAGAAAAGGAAAAACCCUGCAGACCAAAAUCAUCUGAGUGAUGAAGCCCUAAUUUUAACCACCUCCCUUUGAUGUGUAGCAGUGGGAUCUUGUUUUUUAAAAAGGAGAGAGGAGAAGACAGUGCUAGGAGCAGAAGACUUUUCAUCUCCACUUCACCUUGCCACUGGGUCUGUGAGAGAUUGGUUCAUUGUCAAGGAGAUUUUUUUUUUUACCCAUGAUUCCAUAUGGUAUGGACCGGACUACAUGUUGCCCCACAUGCCACUGCAAAUGUUUUCUCAAUUAGGUGUCUUAUCUCCCGUGAGUUAGCAUCAGAUGAAGCUUGCUGACAGCGUAAUGGCAGGGAAAGCUUCCGACGGCUCCAUCAAAUGGCAGCUCUGCUACGACAUCUCGGCCAGAACUUGGUGGAUGGGACUCUGGGGUGUAUGGUUUUCUUUGGCUGUGGUAUUUUCUGAGGACGAGUGUUGGGCACUGAAGAGAAGCAAGCCCUGAGUGAAUUCCAGUCCUGGCCAAUUAAUUGGAUUGCCUGAAGUCACCUGUGAGAGAACUCCCAGUCCCCACUCCCUAUUUUCCAUCCGGGGAUCCACAGCUCUCAUCUAACUUUUCCCCGUUUAUGUCAGAGCAGAUUUCUGCCUCUUAGGCACUCUAGCUCUGAGUGGAAAAGACCCACACACUCUAUCUUUCAGUUACUCUGGAUAUAAAUAAAGUUUUAAUAAAGUUCUGCCAUGCAGCGGCAGAAUGAGUUAACUCACAUGUCAUGGUCAACCAGGACAGCAACCUUUGACAUCUUGGAUCUAUAAGAGGUAGAGUGAGUUGGGAGGAUGCACAAUAGCUCAUUGUCACAGGAGAUGCAAGUCCUGUGAGGAGGAGAGUCCUCAAAUCAUUACUGCCCUCGUUAGGAUGGUGUCCGUUAAGGAUUAAUUUGUUAGCAGUGCAUUUCUAGUUUUCCGUAAUUAUUAUUCUUUCGGCAAGCGUGAAUUCUUCCAGGGAGUGAAAAAAAAGUUUGCUGCCAGACAAUGAAUGUAUUAUCCGUUCCUAACUGGACCGUGAACUUCAGCUCAUUUCACAUAGAUAUCAGUUUAAGAAAAAAAGAGAGCAAGAGAGAUGUUGAAGGGGGAGACUGGCGAAUGGAAUUACAAAACAGGGCAUGGUCGGUUUCAUUGUAUGAUCUGCAGAAAGAGUUCUCUUUUCCCCUUCCUGGACCAAUGGUGUAUCAUUUUGGCAAGUUUUAGGAAUUCGGAGGACUGAGAGACUGUUAAAAGUGAGCUACCGCAGGAUUCUAUCCGGCUGCUUCUUGGGAUGCAGUAUGUCCAUCCUAAGGACUCUUGAGUUAAAGUGGUUGUGGGUAUGUGUGUACCUGUGUGUUUUAACUUGUAAUUUCUUAACUAGACAUUAGAAAUUUUACCAGUAAUUUCAGAACAAUGUUACAUGCAGCUUUUGGCUAAUUAGACUAGCAGUAGACUAUCCACUCUGACCCUGAACUUUUGUUCAGGGCACUUAUUUUCCCAUUAGAGUUUUUGCCAGCAAGAACAAGGUUUACUUGUAUGCUAUGAUGUUGCCUAUUGCUUCACUUUAUACAGCUUGUUAAACAUUAGAAAUGAAUAUACUGAUUGGUUUAGUAAUUGUUUUCUAAGUUGUAAGCUUUUUUAAAAAAACUGCACGCCGAUGUCAUAUUCUGGGUGAAACAUUCUACUUCCUUGUAUUUCAAGAGCUCAUAGAUUUUAUAGACUGUUACUUUUUAUGGCAAAUUGUGUCACCUCUUUUUUUUUUCCUUGCAAAGAUCACCAAAUGUCUCUCUUUUUUUAACUUGGAAAACUGUAAUUUCUUUUUUGUAAAGUUUACUUGGAAGUUGCUUUUCAUUUAAAAUUAUUUUACAGAUGUUUUACCGCCGGGAAAAUAACAUAUAAAAGUGGUGGAAACAUUUAGCAAUGCAGUUGCCUAAAAAUAAACAAUGUUGAAAGCUCACAUGCUGCUGUUUAGGCUGCAAACUACAGGGAAGUUUCUCUAAACUUCAAUGCUUCUAGAUCUUUGCUUUGAAAAGGGGUGAGAAAUAAGAGUGCUCUCUAAAGAAGUUAUACAAGUUAUCAUAGGGAAUAAAUCAAUUUGUUUCUUUCCCUCAAAGGUGACCACAUACCAUAGCAUUUCAGAUCUGCCAGUUACAAAUAAUUCUAAUGUAAAUUUCCCAUUAUAGAUGGGAAAUUGAGGACUUUGAUGAAGGAGGAGGGAACUAAUUAAAAUAAUACAAAUUUCACAUUUUCUCUUAGAUCUCUUUCCUUGAAUAACACGCUCUCCCUCUCCCUCCAUUCACCCACCUCGCUAUCCCAAACAAUUUUCCCCAGCUGAAAGAAAAAUUUAAACUUCCCUCUGGCUGAUAUAGUUCUUUAACCAAAGGAUAGUACAAGAUCGGAGUUUCACUAAAGGCAAAUAAAGCUUUAAAAUUACCUCAUGCGUCAUCUGGCUGCACAGACUCCGGGCUCAUAGUGGGAACCUCCGGCUUGGUCCUCCCAGCAUACAAAGGCAACUCAGUGAAUGCCCCCUCCGCCCGUGGAGACGCGGCCUCAGCUGCCAGCGACAGGAUAUGCAAUUUUGCUUUUUAAUGAAUCGUAAACAAUUUGUAUGGCAAAUGAGUUUGUUUGUUUUAGUUUGGGGGCAUAUGUUGUACCAGGUUGUAGAUAGUCAUUACCUACUGCAGAAUUUUAGGUGAGAGUGGGUAGAGCCCCGGAUCAUUUUUAUUUUUCUAAAUAAUAAAGACACACUAGGAUGAAAGAAACUGGUUAAUAAAAGACUGAGAAUAACAACCUCUCUUCUCCUUCUCUCUCUCCCCUCUUUUCCUCUCUAUCCCCACCCCCUCUCAUAACUCACUCAGACUUACAGUACGGCUUUAGCUACACUUUUUGACAACUAACUGGAAAUAAUCAGUUGACUAGAUUAAUCUUUAAUUUUUUAAGUAUAAAUUUUAACUUUGUCUUUAAAAGACUAUUUUGUUUAAGAAAGAGUUAUUUUAAAAUGUGAAAUACUGAGAAGGGCCAUCUCUGUCCUCUAUUACUUUUUGUGAUUGAAGCUAAGGUUGCCUUGAGGAACAUGAGCUAUAAGAAUUACAAAUACAUUUUUUAUAUCAAAAUGGAGCAAGAAAGGGGUCUUGUUAUUGAAAAGUCAAAUAAAAACGUGUAUUCAAAUCCACAGAGUUGUAAACAACUUAGAAGUUAAGAAGCAACCAGGGUUCGAGCACGUACAUUUUAACAGUAAUUACCUUUGGCGCUGCCACUUAUAAGAAACCUUUUGAUAUCUGAGCCACUUCUCUAAUGCUUUAAUCACGCAAAUCAAGAAAUAGAUAUUACGUAUCAACUUAAUCUAGCUCUGUUGUGACAUCGCUAGUAGAAACCCUCCCAUAGAAAAGUAAAGAAAACCCUCAUGAAAUUUUCGUCAGCUCCAAAUGAAAUGGAGACACCCUGAAAGCAUGUAUUUGCUUCAAAAUAUAAUUCUGUCCAGCAGAAUUAUCUCCAUUCUACCCAUAUGGCAUAAAAUGAAGGCAGAAUGAACAUUCUCCUCUUCGUAAUGAUUUAGUGAUAACAAUGUGUUAUGGGACUAUUUUUAUGUGAAUUACAAAAUGCACUUGUCUUGCUUCUGCCCUCCAAUUUAAAAACUCAUAGUGACUGUGAAAUGAAGGCAACUAAAUUAUCCUACAAGCCCCUCACCCCAUGCUAGGUCCUGAAGCAUUUAUUUUGGGAGCAUUCUCUUUAAAAAAUUUGACAUACGCUUUUAAAAUCAAGAACUGUCUGUCACUUAACACAAACUUGUACAACUUUGCAUACCAGGAAAACACUUGGGCAAGAAGGAUAUGCUAUGCCUUGUAGUAUAAAUGCCUACUUUUUAAAGUGUACAUGUAAAAAUAGCAAGAUAGUUCUAUGAAAUACUGCCUUACUAUGUUCAGCAAUUCAAAAAAA